GGAGAGGUGGCCGAGUGGUUGAAGGCGCAACAUUGGAAAUGUUGUUUAGAGAGAAAUUUUUAACGAGGGUUCGAAUCCCUUCCUCUCCU
rnacentral:tRNA from 1 species